GGGGCUCAAGUACCCGCCGAAGUUGUGGCAUUCACAUAUAUCCCAAGCCGGAGACUUGUUCUCCUGGUUCAAGGGUGUGGAUGGGUAGGGGAGCGUCGUGUGGGCAGUGAAGUCGCGGUGUAAACCAGCGGUGGAGCCUACACGAGUGAGAAUGCAGGCAUGAGUAGCGAAAGACGGGUGAGAAACCCGUCCGCCGAAUGAUCAAGGGUUCCAGGGUCAAGCUAAUCUGCCCUGGGUAAGUCGGGACCUAAGGCGAGGCCGACAGGCGUAGUCGAUGGACAACGGGUUGAUAUUCCCGUACCGGCGAAAAACCGCCAAUACUGAUCGAGGGAUACUAACCGCCAGAAGCAUGACCGCCCACCCUUGUGGUGACGUGGUUUUUUGUGGAUCGCGGGACCUGAUCUCGGGAGGUAAGCGUAUUAACAGGUGUGACGCAGGAAGGUAGCCGAGCCGGGCGAUGGUUGUCCCGGUCUAAGGAUGUAGGGCAGGACGUAGGCAAAUCCGCGUUCUUGUGUUCGAUCACGAGCCUGAGAUCUGAUGGGACCCCCGUAUGGGGGAAUUCGGUGAUCCUAUGCUGCCGAGAAAAGCAUCGGCGCGAGGUUUUAGCCGCCCGUACCCCAAACCGACACAGGUGAUCAGGUAGAGAAUACUAAGGCGAUCGAGAGAAUUAUGGUUAAGGAACUCGGCAAAAUGCCCCCGUAACUUCGGGAGAAGGGGGGCCCCAACUGUGAUGGUGACUUGCUCACCGGAGCGGAUCAGGGCCGCAGAGACCAGGGGGAAGCGACUGUUUACUAAAAACACAGGUCCGUGCGAAGUCGCAAGACGAUGUAUACGGACUGACUCCUGCCCGGUGCUGGAAGGUUAAGAGGACCGGUUAGUUUCACGCUUGCGUGGGACGAAGCUGGGAAUUUAAGCCCCAGUAAACGGCGGUGGUAACAAUAACCAUCCUAAGGUAGCGAAAUUCCUUGU
rnacentral:rRNA from 1 species